rnacentral:rRNA from 1 species
UGGGGAAUAUUGCACAAUGGGCGCAAGCCUGAUGCAGCCAUGCCGCGUGUAUGAAGAAGGCCUUCGGGUUGUAAAGUACUUUCAGCGGGGAGGAAGGGAGUAAAGUUAAUACAUUUGCUCAUUGACGUUACCCGCAGAAGAAGCACCGGCUAACUACGUGCCAGCAGCAGCGGUAAUACGGAGGGUGCAAGCGUUAAUCGGAAUUACUGGGCGUAAAGCGCACGCAGGCGGUUUGUUAAGUCAGAUGUGAAAUCCCCGGGCUCAACCUGGGAACUGCAUCUGAUACUGGCAAGCUUGAGUCUCGUAGAGGGGGGUAGAAUUCCAGGUGUAGCGGUGAAAUGCGUAGAGAUCUGGAGGAAUACCGGUGGCGAAGGCGGCCCCCUGGACGAAGACUGACGCUCAGGUGCGAAAGCGUGGGGAGCAAACA